AGCCUCCAGGCUGUGUGAUUGUUGCCUCCGAUCUUUGACCACGGAUGUACUGGCACGGAUCGUUGAGGCAAUUGUGGGAAGGCCGGGGAGACCCGGCCUUUUUCAU
rnacentral:sRNA from 1 species